rnacentral:rRNA from 1 species
UACGGAGGAUGCAAGCGUUAUCCGGAAUGAUUGGGCGUAAAGCGUCCGCAGGUGGCUGUGUAAGUCUGCUGUUAAAGAGUGAGGCUCAACCUCAUAAAGGCAGUGGAAACUACAUGGCUAGAGUGCGUUCGGGGCAGAGGGAAUUCCUGGUGUAGCGGUGAAAUGCGUAGAGAUCAGGAAGAACACCGGUGGCGAAGGCGCUCUGCUAGGCCGCAACUGACACUGAGGGACGAAAGCUAGGGGAGCGAAUGGG